rnacentral:rRNA from 1 species
UACGGAGGGAGCUAGCGUUGUUCGGAAUUACUGGGCGUAAAGCGCACGUAGGCGGCUAUUCAAGUCAGAGGUGAAAGCCCGGGGCUCAACCCCGGAACUGCCUUUGAAACUAGAUAGCUAGAAUCUUGGAGAGGUCAGUGGAAUUCCGAGUGUAGAGGUGAAAUUCGUAGAUAUUCGGAAGAACACCAGUGGCGAAGGCGACUGACUGGACAAGUAUUGACGCUGAGGUGCGAAAGCGUGGGGAGCAAACAGG